rnacentral:rRNA from 1 species
GACGAACGCUGGCGGCGUGCCUAAUACAUGCAAGUAGAACGCUGAAGGAGGAGCUUGCUUCUCCGGAUGAGUUGCGAACGGGUGAGUAACGCGUAGGUAACCUGCCUGGUAGCGGGGGAUAACUAUUGGAAACGAUAGCUAAUACCGCAUAAGAGUAGAUGUCGCAUGACAUUUGCUUAAAAGGUGCAACUGCACCACUACCAGAUGGCCCUGCGUUGUAUUAGCUAGGUGGUGAGGUAACGGCUCACCAAGGCCACGAUACAUAGACGACCUGAGAGGGUGAUCGGCCACACUGGGACGGAGACACGGCCCAGACUCCUACGGGAGGCAGCAGCAGGGAAUCUUCGGCAAUGGACGGAAGGCUGACCGAGCAACGCCGCGGGAGUGAAGAAUGUUGUCGGAUCGUAAAGCUCGGUUGUAAGAGAAGAACGAGUGUGAGAGUGGAAAGUUCACACUGUGACGGUAGCUUAACAGAAAGGGACGGCUAACUACGUG